CCUACGGGGGGCAGCAGUGAGGAAUAUUGGUCAAUGGACGCAAGUCUGAACCAGCCAUGCCGCGUGCAGGAAGACGGCCCUAUGAGUUGUAAACUGCUUUUGUAAGGGGGUAAAGGCAGAUACGCGUACCUGUUUGAAAGUAUCGUACGAAUAAGGAUCGGCUAACUCCGUGCCAGCAGCCGCGGUAAUACGGAGGAUUCAAGCGUUAUCCGGAUUUAUUGGGUUUAAAGGGUGCGUAGGCGGUCGGUUAAGUUAGGGGUGAAAUCCCGAGGCUCAACUUCGGAAUUGCCUCUGAUACUGUUCGGCUUGAGAGUAGUUGCGGUAGGCGGAAUGUAUGGUGUAGCGGUGAAAUGCUUAGAGAUCAUACAGAACACCGAUUGCGAAGGCAGCUUACCAAGCUACUUCUGACGUUGAGGCACGAAAGCGUGGGGAGCAAACAGGAUUAGAUACCCGGGUAGUC
rnacentral:rRNA from 1 species